AAUAAAAUGCCUGAAAAAGGAUUAUCUUGAUAGGAUAAAUCAUGUAUAUUUUUAUAUACUUUUAUUA
rnacentral:tRNA from 1 species